UAGAGAGAGAAAGUUAGUGAGAGAAAGUCUCCAAACGCUCUCAAAUUUCUAACCGUUGGAGGCGUGCUUCUCCUUUCUCUACGUUGAUAAUUCUCCAAUUCAUGUCCCAAAUUGGCUGUUGAGAUGUAGAUUUCUAAGUAAAUUCUCGAUUCCAGAUUACGAGAAAUCUACACACAGUAUUAUCGCUGUUUGAUUUUUCCAUAAAUCUGAUUUUCCCCCAAUUUUACAUAUAUCGCAUAUUGACCCAGAUCCCC
rnacentral:lncRNA from 1 species